CCGCAAUGGGCGCAAGCCUGACGGAGCAACGCCGCGUGGGUGACGAAGGAUUUCGGUCUGUAAAGCCCUUUCAGUCGGGACGAGUCGCAGACGGUACCGACAGAAGAAGCAUCGGCUAACUACGUGCCAGCAGCCGCGGUAAGACGUAGGAUGCGAGCGUUGUCCGGAAUUAUUGGGCGUAAAGCGUACGUAGGCGGUCAUCUAAGUCUGGGGUUAAAGACCAAGGCUCAACCUUGGGAGUGCCCUGGAUACUGGGUGACUGGAGGACGGCAGAGGAAAGUGGAAUUCCCAGUGUAGCGGUGAAAUGCGUAGAUAUUGGGAGGAACACCAGUGGCGAAAGCGACUUUCUGGGCCGUUCCUGACGCUGAGGUAGCGAAAGCCAGGGGAGCAAACGGGAUUAGAUACCCCGGUAGUCCUGGCCGUAAACGAUGGAUACUAGGUGUCAUCGGUAUCAACCCCGGUGGUGCCGUAGCUAACGCGUUAAGUAUCCCGCCGGGGGAGUACGGUCGCAAGGCUGAAACUCAA
rnacentral:rRNA from 1 species